rnacentral:rRNA from 1 species
AUUGAACGCUGGCGGCAGGCUUAACACAUGCAAGUCGAGCGGAGAGAGGUAGCUUGCUACUGAUCUUAGCGGCGGACGGGUGAGUAAUGCUUAGGAAUCUGCCUAUUAGUGGGGGACAACAUUUCGAAAGGAAUGCUAAUACCGCAUACGUCCUACGGGAGAAAGCAGGGGAUCUUCGGACCUUGCGCUAAUAGAUGAGCCUAAGUCGGAUUAGCUAGUUGGUGGGGUAAAGGCCUACCAAGGCGACGAUCUGUAGCGGGUCUGAGAGGAUGAUCCGCCACACUGGGACUGAGACACGGGCCAGACUCCUACGGGAGGCAGCAGGGGGGAAUAUUGGACAAUGGGCGCAAGCCUGAUCCAGCCAUGCCGCGUGUGUGAAGAAGGCCUUAUGGUUGUAAAGCACUUUAAGCGAGGAGGAGGCUACUUUAGUUAAUACCUAGAGAUAGUGGACGUUACUCGCAGAAUAAGCACCGGCUAACUCUGUGCCAGCCGCCGCAGUAACAC